rfam:Populus trichocarpa isolate Nisqually-1 chromosome 18, whole genome shotgun sequence.
UAAUUUAUUUGGGAUAGAUACUCAUCUAAUUAUGGUAGACCCACAUAUGACUACGCAAUCAUCCGUUAUUGCAAGCCUGACUACAUUAAUAUUUGGUUAGCCUUUUUAGAGCCAACUAGAUAAAUUUCUUUGAAAGCUUCCCAACUUAGAA